AUUGAACGCUGGCGGCAUGCCUUACACAUGCAAGUCGAACGGCAGCAUGAUCUAGCUUGCUAGAUUGAUGGCGAGUGGCGAACGGGUGAGUAAUACAUCGGAACGUGCCCUGUAGUGGGGGAUAACUAGUCGAAAGAUUAGCUAAUACCGCAUACGACUUGAGGGUGAAAGUGGGGGACCGCAAGGCCUCACGCUAUAGGAGCGGCCGAUGUCUGAUUAGCUAGUUGGUGAGGUAAAGGCUCACCAAGGCGACGAUCAGUAGCUGGUCUGAGAGGACGAUCAGCCACACUGGGACUGAGACACGGCCCAGACUCCUACGGGAGGCAGCAGUGGGGAAUUUUGGACAAUGGGGGCAACCCUGAUCCAGCAAUGCCGCGUGUGUGAAGAAGGCCUUCGGGUUGUAAAGCACCUUUGUCCGGAAAGAAAUCGCACUUACUAAUAUUAGGUGUGGAUGACGUACCGAA
rnacentral:rRNA from 1 species